CCAGACGCCUACGGGAGGCAGCAGUGGGGAAUAUUGCACAAUGGGGGAAACCCUGAUGCAGCGACGCCGCGUGAGUGAAGAAGUAAUUCGUUAUGUAAAGCUCUAUCAGCAGGGAAGAAAAUGACGGUACCUGAGUAAGAAGCCCCGGCUAACUACGUGCCAGCAGCCGCGGUAAUACGUAGGGGGCAAGCGUUAUCCGGAUUUACUGGGUGUAAAGGGGGCGCAGACGGCGAUGCAAGCCAGGAGUGAAAGCCCGGGGCCCAACCCCGGGACUGCUCUUGGAACUGCGUGGCUGGAGUGCAGGAGGGGCAGGCGGAAUUCCUGGUGUAGCGGUGAAAUGCGUAGAUAUUAGGAGGACCUCCAGUGGCGAAGGCGACUUUCUGGACUGUACCUGACGGUGAGGCGCGACAGCGUGGGUAGCGAACGGGAUUAGAUACCCGGGUACU
rnacentral:rRNA from 1 species